AACAUAGCCCCUAGCAUCUAUUAGGGGUGAAGCCUGCCCAAUGGGUUUAAUCUAAAUGGCCGCGGUAUCUUGACCGUGCAAAGGUAGCAUAAUCAUUUGUCUCUUAAAUAGAGACUUGUAUGAAUGGCACAACUUUCUCUAACUGUCUCCUUUCUUUUCCUCAUAAACUUCUAUUAACGUGAAGAAGCGUUAAUAAACAAGAAAGACGAGAAGACCCUGUCGAGCUUUAGCUUCCUAAUAGGUUAAAUUAAGUCCCUAAAGACUCCUACCCCCUACAGCAGCUUUGGUUGGGGUAACCGCGGAGAAAAACUAACCUCCGAUACCAUAAAAGAUUCCUUAAUCCUUUUUUCACUUAAGAACCACAUAUAAUGAUAAACAGAAACAGUUACCGCAGGGAUAACAGCGUUAUCUCCUUUAAGAGUUCAUAUUGACAAGGAAGAUUGCGACCUCGAUGUUGGAUUGGGGCCACCAAAGG
rnacentral:rRNA from 1 species